rnacentral:rRNA from 1 species
AUUGAACGCUGGCGGCAUGCCUUACACAUGCAAGUCGAACGGCAGCACGGGAGCAAUCCUGGUGGCGAGUGGCGAACGGGUGAGUAAAGUAUCGGAACGUGCCCAGUCGUGGGGGAUAACGUAGCGAAAGCUACGCUAAUACCGCAUACGAUCUAUGGAUGAAAGCGGGGGAUCGCAAGACCUCGCGCGAUAGGAGCGGCCGAUAUCAGAUUAGGUAGUUGGUGGGGUAAAGGCUCACCAAGCCGACGAUCUGUAGCUGGUCUGAGAGGGCGACCAGCCACACGGGGACUGAGGCACGGCCCAGACUCCUACGGGAGGCAGCAGUGGGGAAUUUUGGACAAUGGGUGAAAGCCUGAUCCAGCCAUGCCGCGUGCAGGAUGAAGGCCUUCGGGUUGUAAACUGCUUUUGUACGGAACGAAAAGGUUUGGCCUAAUAAGCUGAGCUCAUGACGGUACCGUAAGAAUAAGCACCGGCUAACUACGUGCCAGCCGCCGCAGUAA